GAUAAUCUUCAGGGCAGGGUGAAAAUCCCUACCGGCGGUAUAGCCCGCGAGCCAAUUUUUGGUAUGAUUCGGUGAAACUCCGAAGCCGACAGUAAAGUCUGGAUGAAAGAAGAGAGAA
rnacentral:ncRNA from 2 species